AGAAGAGUCAGACAGGCAGGGAUCAGGAACCGGCAGAAGAGUCAGACAGGCAGGGAUCAGAGAACAGGCAGGAUCGGUGGUAGGUCAGGAUCUGAAUCGCGGGAAAGCACUGUGAAACACAAGAGACAAUCUGGCAGGGAAUGUUUGGGAGGAAAGGACUGAUAUAGGGGAAACACAGGUGAAGGUGGUUGGGUUAAUUGGGAGUGAUCAGGAAGGCAGGCAGGUGAAUGAGAAAACCUGGUCUGCCUCUGGUUUGAGAAACUGAAGAGACAUUGCCAGCCCUCUCCCACCAACUCUCUGCAGCAAGCCUUUGUGCGCCAGAGACAUGCCGAGUAUUUAGUGCAAAAAUCCAGGAACAUUACUAUGACCCAGACUCAGCUAAUGAAAUGGUGGAGAGUCAAUGGAUUGGUGUACCCAAAACUGGCCAGGCUGGCAAGGUCCGUCCUCUGCAUUCCAGCGAGCAGCAGCAGCAGCAGCGAGCAGGUGUUCAGCGCAGCUGGCCGAACGAUAGAGCAGAGAAGGACCGCUCUGAAACCAGCAACUGUGGACGAUCAAUCUUGUUCUUGCAUGACAACAUGUAGAACCAUGGCUCAGGCAGGAGGCUACCAUCAGAACUGACGGCUCAUCAACCUGGACUGUUUGAACCGGCCCAGUUUAAUAAAGACGCUUUAAAUUAGUCUAAACCAACAUUAGUUUGUCAAUUUUGUAUGUUCAUCUUCUGGUAUUGGAGUGUUAUUAUUGUAGCCCACCCUGCAUCAUUAGCCUAUCCCCUUGAUCCCUCGACGUGAGUCCCCGUUUUUGCCUUUGCCUUUGUAAAAUAUCAAAAUAUGCCCAUUUGUUGUGUUCAAAUUAUUCUAUUUACAUAAAAGUUUUUUAAUUUAUAGGCCUUUAAGGCUAGACCAUCCAAAGUUCAUUCUUGUUAGGGGUCCAAGCCAACAGGGCCCCGUUUCCCGAAAGCGUCGUUAGCCUAAGUGGAUCGUGAAGUGCGUCGAAAGGGCAUCGUAGAGUUUUCACCGCGUUUCCCGAAAGCAUCGUGGGGAACGAACGUCUUGAAAACGCUCGUAGCUAACGAGUACUCCAGGGGUGCUCGUAGGUACUCGUAGGACGCUAAGAGCAUCG